CUAAGUUAGUUCCUUCGCUCCUUGUGUUAUUGUCCUACAAAACGUGUUCCUUAUCUUUCAUAUGACUCAUCUCUUUCCUUUGGAGUUUUGUGCCAUGAAUUUGGUCUUUCUUGUCAUUCCAUUGAGUCGGCAUUGUUUCUUGUUUGUGAUGAACUUACAAAGAUGCUAUUUAAGCAGUGGACUAAAUUUCCAUCGAAUUUGAAUUUACCCAUUUUCAAGUCCUGUCCAUUCUCUCACAUACUAUACCUCAAGUAGUAAGGGCUGGCUAAGAUUUAAUUUGCAACUCUCCCGACAACUCUUUAGGAUCUUCUAUAAAGCUCUCCCAUACUAGCUCGCAAUCCCUUCCACUUCAACCCAAAUUGCAGAAUCUUUGAUUAGUAACCGGUUGCACCCCUUCUCCAAGAUCAUCUCCUAAUCCUCGUGCUUGCAGAAGAAGAAAAAAACACUAUGCGGGCUGCUAAUCCUCGUGGUUGUAGAAGAAGAAAAAAAAAACACUACGGUGUCUCCCGCACUUAUAGGUGUGCAACUUUGGAUCGGGAUCGGAUCGAACUGGAACUAGACUGGACCGAGCCUUCGCUUGCUUACUUGAAAGGUAUCGAUCUAAAAAUGGCCGAACGUCUAACAUCUACAACUUUGAAAACGGCUCGGAUCAGGGCCCGGUUGAGUUUUAAGGCAAUGAAAAAGCCUGCUGCUCCCAAGAAUCCAGCCAAGCCUAAGUCGAAGAAGCGCAAAGAACACGUCGAAGAAAAGGUGGCUCAGACUGAGAAGGCCUUGGUUAAGGCCCGACCGAGAGGGAAUCGGCGAAGAAGGCUAAGACUGAUGUUUCAGUCGAAGUUAACAACCCUUGGGUUGGCUCUAAAUCUGGGGAGACCGACCUUUGGCUUCAUUAGACUUCUGUCCUCAGUCUUCGAUAUCCUACCCCCGACCGGGUGGUGGGAAACCAGGUGGCCGAGGCAGUUCUCGUUCCUCUCACCGAGUUGAAAUGCUUGGAAUAAAAGGCUGAAUGAAGCCAUAAGGAUCAUCUGCAAGGACACCAACCGGGAGCACAUCAACCAGACUCUCGGCAAGACCGGGACAAAUGAACUCUACCGCUCCUGGCUCGACUUCUCCAUCCGCAUGUCCAAUGUUGCGGAAAACCGAGUGGCCUUAUACGAGGAGGUUGAAGAAGCUGAGGGAGAAAUCCAAGAAGCACUUCUCCAAAUUGAGCAAGGCCGAAAAUGAUUGCUGAGUCAAAGUUGGACAAUGCUAUGAGUGCCAUCGGCAGGGGUCAGGAGGACAUCAAAGUCGACCAGCAGGCUGAAUGGGCGAAGAAAAAGGCGGACCUCAUCAUGGAAAAGGAUGGGGCCGAAAUUGCCAAGGCCGAUGUCGAGGCCAAGUUGGUGACGGCGAGCAGAAAAUUGGCAAACCACUUAAUCCUGCGAUGAUUAUAACGCAGAGGUCAGCCAUGUGUUCCAUAAAAUGGGUGAGGACGAGACCCUUGAAUGGCUGAAGGGCGUUUUGGCCGAGUCGUGCCCCUGGAAUGACGUACGCCUAGUCCAGGUACCAGGAAGUCUAUGAAGCUGAGGCGGCCAAAAUUCGGGCUCAGAUUUCCCUUGAGAAGGGCGAGGAAUGUGAUGGUGAAGAAGAGGAUGGGGCCGAGGCCUCCCAAGCUGCUGAGGCUGUGACCUCCCUCCCUCCUAGCUCUUAGGCUUAUUUUUCUAUUCUUUUCUUUUGCCAUGUACCACCGAUCAAGUCGGUUUAGCUCAUGUAAUCGAACUUAAAUUUUCUCAUCAAUGAAUA